rnacentral:lncRNA from 1 species
AUUCACCCAUAAUUUGCCCAUAAGGCCACAAUCCUCAAUUCAUCCAUAUACCAACAAUUCAUCAUAAAUAGAUAUACAAAACCAUAUAAAUCAACAAUACAAUCCAAUCUAAACACAAUUUCAUCAACAUUAAAUCAUAGGCAUUAAACCCACUUCAUAAGCAAAUUCUAGAGUUUUAAUGAAAACUUGGGUUCUUGAAGAAAUUUCAUAUCAAAUCAUCUUAAAAUCAUAAAUAGAACUUCAAUUCACCAAUAUAAUGACUUUGAAAACAUUUUACCCAUGAACCCAUACCUAGAAUAGAAAAUAGAAGUUUUGUUCUUUGAAAACCUUUGAAACCCUUUUUAAUGGACUCCUUGAAGGAAAGAUAAUCAAGGAUCAAGGGUCACCAUACCUUUGCUAAGAUUCCCCACGAAAAUUGAUGAAGACACCACCUUAAAACCAAGCCCUAGUUCCAAGUUCUUGACCUUCUUAAAUGGAGAAUUCUAGAGAGGGAAAUGUUUUAGAGAUGGGAAUUGAACUAAUGGUAUAUAGGAAAUAACAUAUGCCCUUUGGAAAAUUCGUCCAACACUUAGAAAAAAAAGAGGCGGGUGAACAGUAAAAAUGGUUACUGGAAAUUGUCUUUCCUGCCGAACAGAAUUUACGAAAAUGGGCAUAACUUCUUCGUCCGAACUCCGAAUGAGGUGAAACGAAGUGCGUUAGGUAGCUAACUCAAAGGGCUUUCCAUGGAUAUAUUAUUGGCCACCCAAAUAAUUUGUGUGCUAGGAGAUAUGAC